rnacentral:rRNA from 1 species
CCUGUGCACUUAAUGUAGAUCUGGAUAACUCUCGCUUGUUACAAGCGGAUGCAGGGAUUGCCGUGUCGUAAGAUCGGCUCUCUUUGAAUUUCCAGGUCUAUGUACCUUUACACACCCCAAUUGUAUGAUGAAGAAUGUAGUCAAUGGGCUCUAAGCCUAUAAAACAAUAUACAACUUUCAGCAACGGAUCUCUUGGCUCUCGCAUCGAUGAAGAACGCAGCGAAAUGCGAUAAGUAAUGUGAAUUGCAGAAUUCAGUGAAUCAUCGAAUCUUUGAACGCACCUUGCGCUCCUUGGUAUUCCGAGGAGCAUGCCUGUUUGAGUGUCAUUAAAUUCUCAACCUCAUCAGUUUUGUUAUGAAGCUGUGUGAGGCUUGGAUGUGGGGGUUUAUGCAGGCUGCCUCAGUGCGGUCUGCUCCCCUGAAAUAUAUUAGCGAGUUCCAACUGGGCUCCGUCUAUUGGUGUGAUAAUUAUCUACGCCGUGGAUUGGGCUUAGACUUGCUUCUAACCGUCCGCAAGGACAAUCUUUGACAAUUUGACCUC